rnacentral:rRNA from 1 species
CUGCAGUUGACGAGAAAGUUGUAGCAAUACGGCUUUGAAAGUGGCGCACGGGUGCGUAACACGUAUGCAACCUACCUUUUACUGGGGAAUAGCCUCUCGAAAGAGAGAUUAAUACCCCAUGAUAUGUUUCGAAGGCAUCUUCGGAAUCUUAAAGCUACGGCGGUAAAAGAUGGGCAUGCGGUUGAUUAGCUAGUUGGUGAGGUAAUGGCUCACCAAGGCUUCGAUCAAUAGGGGGUCUGAGAGGAUGUCCCCCCACACUGGUACUGAGACACGGACCAGACUCCUACGGGAGGCAGCAGUAGGGAAUAUUGGACAAUGGGCGCAAGCCUGAUCCAGCCAUGCCGCGUGCAGGAUGAAGGCCCUAUGGGUCGUAAACUGCUUUUGUACGGGAAGAAACCUCACUACGUGUAGUGAGUUGACGGUACCGUGAGAAUAAGGAUCGGCUAACUUCGUGCCAGCAGCCGCGGUAAUACGAAGGAUCCAAGCGUUGUCCGGAUUUACUGGGUUUAAAGGGUGCGUAGGCGGACUUUUAAGUCAGUGGUGAAAGCUUGCAGCUUAACUGUAAAAUUGCCAUUGAAACUGAAAGUCUCGAGUGUGGUUGAGGUAACUGGAAUAUAUCAUGUAGCGGUGAAAUGCUUAGAUAUGAUAUAGAACACCAAUUGCGAAGGCAGGUUACUGAGCCACAACUGACGCUGAGGCACGAAAGCGUGGGGAUCAAACAGGAUUAGAUACCCUGGUAGUCCACGCCGUANACGUUGAAUACUCGAUCUUAGCGAUACACAGUUAGGAUCCAAGCGAAAGCGUUAAGUAUUCCACCUGGGAAGUACGUUCGCAAGAAUGAAACUCAAAGGAAUUGACGGGGGCCCGCACAAGCGGAGGAGCAUGUGGUUUAAUUCGAUG